rnacentral:rRNA from 1 species
CCUACGGGGGGCAGCAGUAGGGAAUAUUGCUCAAUGGGGGAAACCCUGAAGCAGCAACGCCGCGUGGAGGAUGAAGGUUUUCGGAUUGUAAACUCCUUUUGUUAGAGAAGAUAAUGACGGUAUCUAACGAAUAAGCACCGGCUAACGCCGUGCCAGCAGCCGUGGCAAUACGGAGGGUGCAAGCGUUACUCGGAAGCACUGGGCGUAAAGAGCGCGUAGGCGGGAUAGCAAGUCAGAUGUGAAAUUCUAUGGCUUAACCAUAGAACUGCAUUUGAAACUGUUAUUCUAGAGUAUAGGUGAGGUAGGUGGAAUUCUUGGUGUAGGGGUGAAAUGCGUAGAGAUCAAGAAGAAUACUCAUUGCGAAGGCGGCCUGCUAGAACAUCACUGACGCUGAUGCGCGAAAGCGUGGGGAGUAAACAGGAUUAGAUACCCGAGUAGUC